rnacentral:rRNA from 1 species
UACGGAGGGUGCAAGCGUUAAUCGGAAUUACUGGGCGUAAAGCGCACGCAGGCGGUUUGUUAAGUCAGAUGUGAAAUCCCCGAGCUUAACUUGGGAACUGCACUUGAAACUGGCAAGCUAGAGUCUUGUAGAGGGGGGUAGAAUUCCAGGUGUAGCGGUGAAAUGCGUAGAGAUCUGGAGGAAUACCGGUGGCGAAGGCGGCCCCCUGGACAAAGACUGACGCUCAGGUGCGAAAGCGUGGGGAGCAAACAGG